AGUGAUUGUAAAACUUCUUAGCUUGACUAAGUGAGGCUUAGGGCAAGGAGGAAGUGCUCCCUCCAUUGUACAUCUAGUUGAACAUCUUUCAUCAAAGAGAAGUUGCUCAACCUAGUGAUUGGUCUUCAAGUUUGAGGAAAGCUUGGUAGACAAUCGGUUUGAUACUCUAUCUUACUUUUUUGUUUAAUAAAAAUCUCAUUGCUUAUUUAUACUUGUUUCUCUGAUCAAUAGUGUUCUUUUAUUCUAAUCUACUUG
rnacentral:lncRNA from 1 species